GCGUGGUGAAUAAACUAAGGGAUUGUAAUUUUCCCAAAUUUUGUGAUUAUUGACAAUUGAAUUGAUAAUAAGACCCAACCUAAAUUUUGUGGAAGUGAUUGAGUAUGAGUAAAAUUACAUUGAACUACUUUCAGAACAAUUGCAUGAUGUAAAGAGGUUAUUGAAACAUGACAGUUUGAUUUAAUAAAUGAAGAGAGUUGUUUUGUAGAGUUAAUGAAAUU
rnacentral:lncRNA from 1 species